CCUACGGGUGGCAGCAGUGGGGAAUAUUGCACAAUGGGGGAAACCCUGAUGCAGCGACGCCGCGUGAGUGAAGAAGUCUUUCGGUAUGUAAAGCCCUAUCAGCAGGGAAGCAACUGACGGUACCUGAUGAAGAAGCGCCGGCUAACUACGUGCCAGCAGCCGCGGUAAUACGUAGGGGGCAAGCGUUAUCCGGAAUUACGGGGUGUAAAGGGAGCGUAGACGGCAGCACAAGUCUCGAGUGAAAUGCCCGGGCUUAAACCCGGAACUGCUUUUGAAACUGUGAAGCUAGAGUGCAGGAGAGGUAAGUGGAAUUCCUAGUGUAGCGGUGAAAUGCGUAGAUAUUAGGAGGAACACCAGUGGCGAAGGCGGCUUACUGGACUGUAACUGACGUUGAGGCUCGAAAGCGUGGGGAGCAAACAGGAUUAGAUACCCGUGUAGUC
rnacentral:rRNA from 1 species